UCGAUGAUACGAUAGGAGGGCGCAGCGGGGCCACGGACGCACCCGCCGGCAUCCUCCGCAUCCGAAAGCACGCUGCGGCGCCGAGGUCCGUGUGCCCCCCCAGCCAGCGGGGGGCAACGACGCACGGCAACCAUCCAAAUGCCCGCCGCACAACCAUAUCCCCGAAGCCCGGGGGCUGCCGGGGAAUGGGCGGCCGGGUGCACACCUAAAUCCACCAGUGCCAGUACCCCGAAACGUGCACAGGGUAGGAAGCACAGGCAACGCGUACUCAGACCGCGAGGGAGGAGCUUAAGCCCGGACCUCCGGCCAACAAUGCAAAGGCAAAG
rnacentral:misc_RNA from 1 species